ACCCGCUGAAUUUAAGCAUAUUAUUAAGCGGAGGAAAAGAAACUAACAAGGAUUCCCCUAGUAACGGCGAGUGAACGGGGAAGAGCCCAACACCGAAUCCCUUGGCGCAAGUCAACGGGAAAUGUGGUGUUAAGGUAGCCCUUCGUGUCAGUCUAGGCGUCUCAAGUCCACCUGAUUGUGGCUCAAGCCCAGAGAGGGUGUAAGGCCCGUAGAGACGCUCCGACUGAUUCCUGGGGUUUACCUACGAGUCGGCUUGUUUGGGAAUGCAGGCCAAAGCGGGUGGUAAACUCCAUCCAAGGCUAAAUACUGGCACGAGUCCGAUAGCGGACAAGUACCGUGAGGGAAAGUUGAAAAGAACUUUGAAGAGAGAGUUCAAUAGUACGUGAAACCGCUUAGAGGCAAACGGAUGGUGCUCAUACUGGCCUGAGGAAUUCAACUGUGACGGUGGCUGGACGAGCUGGCGUUCCGAUCUCUCUUUUGGGACGGGCGUCGGUUUGGCUAUCAGCUCCGACAUGGUGCACUUUCCUUGGUGCCUCCGCCACGACCGACGACACUGGCUACCCGCGGCUGGGGUAAGGUGACAAACUGCUUCGGCAAUUUGUGUUAUAGACCCCGGCGUCGGACAUGGUUUGGCCAGGACGUCGAGCUUGCGGCGCCCGCUCCUUGUGGGCUCGCAUGUUGGCUAGCUUGGCUGCGCCGAUGCUUGCACUGGACAACCAGUACAGGUGACGGUUGUGGUCUUGUCUCUAGUUGGCCUCUGCGAGUUUGGCGCCUAUAGUCUGUGGUGUACUUGUGGGUAGACUAUCCGACCCGUCUUGAAACACGGACCAAGGAGUCUAACAUGUGCGCGAGUCAUGGGGAUUCUACGAAACCCAAAGGCGCAGUGAAAGUAAAGGCCUGCUUCUCGUAGGCUGAGGUGGGAUCUCGUGCAUCGCGAUUGGCGAGCGCACCACCGGCCCGUCCUAUCUGUCUCUGUCAGUGGGGCGGCGCAAGAGCGUACACGUUGGGACCCGAAAGAUGGUGAACUAUGCUUGCGCAGCUCGAAGUCAGUGGAAACACUGAUGGAGGAGCGCAGCGUUUCUGACGUGCAAAUCGAUCGUCAAACGUGAGUAUAGGGGCGAAAGACUAAUCGAACCAUCUAGUAGCUGGUUCCCUCCGAAGUUUCCCUCAGGAUAGC
rnacentral:rRNA from 1 species